AUGCAAGUCGAACGGAUUAUUAGAGCUUGCUCUAAUGGUUAGUGGCGGACGGGUGAGUAACGCGUGGGAACCUGCCCUGGAGUGGGGAACAACCUUUGGAAACGAAGGCUAAUACCGCAUACGCUCUACGGAGGAAAGGCUUCGGCCGCUCCAGGAUGGUCCCGCGUCUGAUUAGCUUGUUGGUGGGUAACGGCCUACCAAGGCGACGAUCAGUAGCUGGUCUGAGAGGAUGAUCAGCCACACUGGGACUGAGACAUGGCCCAGACUCC
rnacentral:rRNA from 1 species